CCGGCUCAGUUGAUCAAAUGCUUACUGUACAAUCAUGAGGACUGGAGUUCAGAUCUCCAUCAUCUACAUAUCCUUAUAAUACACACCCACCACACACACACAUACACACACAUCACACACACACCACACACACACACCACACACACACCACACACACACACACACCACACACACACCACAUACACACCACACACACAUCACACACACACCACACACACACACACACCACACACACACACACACACACACCACACACACCACACACACACACCACAUCACACACAUACACUACACCCAUACCCACACACAUCACAUACACCCAUCACACACACACACCACAUCACACACAUACACUACACCCAUACCCACACACAUCACAUACACCCAUCAUACACACACACCACACACACCCACACACACUACAUGCACCACAUAAACCCAUCAUACACACACACACACACACACACACACACACACACACACACUACAUGCACCACAUAAACCCAUCAUACACACACACACACACACACACACUACAUGCACCACAUAAACCCAUCAUACACACACACACACACACACACACACAUACCCAUCUCACACACACAUUCACCUAUCACACAUACAUGUCACACACACACACAUCUCUCUCUCUCACACACACACACACACCAUCUCACACACACACAUCAGACACACAUACCUAUAUCUCUCACACAUACACACAUCACACACAUACCCAUCUUAUAUGCCUCUAUACAUAUACACCCAUCUCUCACACCCAUAUACACCUCAUACACAUACAUGUCACCCCCAUCAUACACAUACAUAUACCAUCACACAUACAUAUGCCUAUCACAAUGCACCCAUUACAUAUAUCCAUCACACGAAUAUACUCACCAUACACAUACACACCUAUCACACACUCACAUCUACAAAUGCACCAUCACACACAUACAUACACUUAUCACACAUACCACACACAUACAUACACACACAAUCCAUCACCUCUCUCUCUCUCUCUCUCUCUCUCUCUCUCUCUUCCUCU
rnacentral:lncRNA from 1 species